CUAAGUGAGCUACUUUAAAAUAGCCCCAGAGCCAACCCAUCUCUGUUGCAAUAGAGUGGGAUAAUUUUUAAGUAGAGGUGAUAAACCUAUCGAACUUAGAGAUAGCUGGUUUUUUAAGAAAAGAUUUUUAGUUCAGCCCUGAGUCUUCUAUUACACAAGAAUUAAACUAAACUCAGGAGUUAUUCAAAUAAGGCACAGCUUAUUUGAAACAGGAUACAACCUAGAAAAAAGGGUAAGACAAAUUUAAUCUCUGACAAGUGGGCCUGAAAGCAGCCACCUUUUAAAAAGCGUCAAAGCUUAACAUUAAUAAUUUUCUUAAUAUCUAAAUUAAUUUCUAACCCUUAUUUACUAUUAAAAAACUCCA
rnacentral:rRNA from 1 species